AGAGUUUGAUCAUGGCUCAGAUUGAACGCUAGCGGGAUGCCUUACACAUGCAAGUCGAACGGCAGCACGGACUUCGGUCUGGUGGCGAGUGGCGAACGGGUGAGUAAUGUAUCGGAACGUGCCUAGUAGCGGGGGAUAACUACGCGAAAGCGUGGCUAAUACCGCAUACGCCCUACGGGGGAAAGCAGGGGAUCGCAAGACCUUGCACUAUUAGAGCGGCCGAUAUCGGAUUAGCUAGUUGGUGGGGUAAUGGCCCACCAAGGCGACGAUCGGUAGCUGGUCUGAGAGGAUGAUCAGCCACACUGGGACUGAGACACGGCCCAGACUCCUACGGGAGGCAGCAGUGGGGAAUUUUGGACAAUGGGGGCAACCCUGAUCCAGCCAUGCCGCGUGCGGGAAGAAGGCCUUCGGGUUGUAAACCGCUUUUAGCCGGGACGAAAGCUGCACGGAUAACACCCGUGCGGGUUGACGGUACCGGCGGAAUAAGCACCGGCUAACUACGUGCCAGCCGCCGCGGUAAUAC
rnacentral:rRNA from 1 species